UGGACCGCCGCCUUACUGGGACCGCGUGCGUAGCCUGGCCUCUUCUCGGUCGUCGCCCUCGCUCCCUCCCGUCUCCUCAAAGCCGCCUCCGUUCCCGUGAGGGCUGGCCCUGCGCUGGUCUCAGUGUCUCGGCUCCCUCUUUCGCGGCUCGCUCGCCGGCUGCUGUCUCGCCCUGACUGGAGCUGGUCCGCGCCGGCGGCCUCCGCCUCUCCGGACUUCCCUGGAGCUCUCGCUCAGCCUGUCCAGACUCCCUCCUUGUGGGCGCGUCGCCGGUCGCCCUGCGUGGAUGCCUCUGGUGAAGCAGACGUUUCCAGCCUGACGGUUCCGGUCAGCUCCGAACGGCCGCCCUGCGCGGCGGCGGAGGCGGCGGACGCAGCGCUUCUAAACAUCACGGGCCCUGGCCUCCUCUCCGCGGAGGUCGGCCCCCCCCUCGCCGCGGAGCGCGGUGGCGGGGCGCGGCCCUGACGCCCCUGAGACCCCGGGAGCAGGGCUGAGCUGCCGCGCAGACUGUGCACCAGCGCGAUGGGCAAGGCAUCCCGGGGCAAAGGUGAGGGCACGCCGAGGGAGACAGGUCAGAGGACGAGUUCGAUCCCCAGAACGAGCGGCAGAGGAGAAGCCCGCGGACGGCAGGCCGUGGCGGCCGGCUCCUCUCAGCGCGGGAGGAGGCCGGCGGAGCGGGUGGGAGACGGCCCUCUGGAGUCCGACUGAGCGCGGAGCAUUGGGACGCUUACCGUAAGCUGCCGUCAGCACGGCCACUCCCUCAGGUAGCCCCGGACCGCGGCCCAGGGUGAGCCGUGUGUGGGUGUGGCCGCGGGUCAAGCGCUCGUCAAAGCGGUUGAGCACAUACCAACUCGUUUAAUUCCCACAGCGACCCUGUGAAGUGGGUGGCGAAGCCAGGGCACAGCAGGGCUGGAAGGUGCACUUCUGGAACUCUGUAAGGCCUGGAGGAACAGUCAAUGGGGAAGAGGCAAACCCACACAGAAACACUUCAACCUGCAUUUACUGUCCAGGGAAGGCCCAGUUUGGCAGGAGUGUGUGUGUGGUUACCAAGCGUCUGCUGAGUCACUCAUCACAGGACCUUGACCAGCUGCCCCUCCCGUGUACACAGUGUUUGGUGAUUUACCUGGUGUUUUCUCUUCCGAACCAGCUCGGCCAGAAAAGGUAUCUAUCUGAUUAACCAUGUGGAACCCCUUCCCCCUCCCCCCUCCCCCACCCCGGCACCUGGCACCUACCCACCUACCUGCACAUGCUCGGACCUUUCUCCCAUCUGGUUUGCCCUACAAGUCAGCUCUUUGAGCUGUUGGGAGUUUAUGUGAUGAUGUGCCCGUUUAGGGUAGUCCUUUGGAGUUUUGAAGCUGUUACAGCACCAGUGGCUACUGGAAGCCUGGCUUAGUCCCAACAACCAAAGGACUAUUUGGAGAAAAUAUUCAUCCUUCUUACAGACAUUCUGAGAACCUCUCAUUCCAUGCUAUAAUUUCCCAGCUAAAAGUUACUAAUUUAUAAAGUUCAGACACUGAAACUUUAAAAGUCAAGAUGGCGCACAUUGCAAUGUGCUGCAGUCACACUGUCAGUGGCCUGUUGUGUUGGAGUCUGAUAAAUGGCCACAGAUAUAUUCUGGAGACAUCCAGGAGUCCCCAUCCUAUGUGGGAGUCACAUUCAUAGACUUUUGGGAAAAGUGGCCUAUGAGGAGCUCAUCAAAGCUGCAAACAGUACAAUGAAUGCAGCAGAAAGUCAGAGUGCUUUGUAGCCUGUCUGAUGGAAGUCUUGAGAUUUGUUGCCCAGAAAGCUCUUUUGUCAUAACUAUAAGGAAAACACAAACUCAAAAUUUGGUAAUCACAGUAAUCUGUUAUUAGAAACAGUCCUUUUGCCGAUAACACCAAUCAAGUCACCAAUCUACCCUACAUAUUACCAGCCCUGCUUUGUAAUAAGCUGCAUACAUAUUGUUAUCUAUCCUCUUGGUUUUGGCCACAGUCCGCCCCCAUUAUAAUCAUUAGAAUUAAAGAAAUGAUGUGCUAUGAUGAGAAUCUGGAGAAAAAAGUUGAACCCCACUAACUUUAAGCAAUAGAUCAGAUUAAGGGGGACAGGAAAUACUUUGCUAUACCCCAAUAUGCAUAAUAGGACACAAAUCAUGGAGGAUUGUAUUUUUUUAGCUCCACAGUAUCAAUGCUUGCUUGAGAUAACAGAAGAUAAUGUGCUAUUUAUGAGCGUUAAGCAGUUAAAAUCUAGUCCAUAUAACUUCCAGGAGCUCUUAACUACAGUGUGCAAAUAAUAAUAUCUAGGAGUACAAUUUUAGCUAAUGAAAACCAUUGUAGCUGAGGCUAGGGCAGGGGAAAAGUGUUAAAUGUGAACCAAAAGCAAGUAUGUCCAUAUAUUUAAGUGAGGGCUGAACAAGCAAGGAAGGCCCUGGGCAUUCACUCAGACUGCCCAGUUAACGCCAUCCGCCUGAGACCCAGCUGGUAUGAGCUGUUCCCGCCCUGCACUCCCCAGCGCUGGGGGUCUGUUCCCACCUGAGCCCCCAGCAGGUGAAGCUGUAACCAGCACAUCUGACUCCUCACCAGACUAUGGGUUUCUUGCAGUCAGGACCUCCUUCCACACAGUUGGGUGUUUGCCCUUUCAGCCUUUGCCAUAAGUGUUCAAUUACUGUCAGUGCUGCACGACCUCCUUCCAUAACAGCAGAGUUAUGGUAGAUCCUGUCAGCCCGCCUCGUGUGAAAUCCUGUGCUCAUGGAAUAAGAAUGACAGGGCAUGCUCUCAACAGCUUGUCGGUUGGGUCUCUGAAGACUGCAUAAAUACCAGGUGUGAUGGGGCACACCCCAACAGAACAUCGAAGGAGCAAAGCCAAGUGCUCUCUCCAACACCAGGGCGACAUUUGUCGAGCAAGAAAAAGAAGGCAGCGAUCAGUGACUGAACACUUGCUCUUCUGCCAGCUACUUUUCUUUCCUUUUGUCAUCAACUUACCUACGCAAGAUCUGGGUGUAGAACAUUUGACAUUCUGAACAACUUAUUCUUGGCACGUGUGUACUUCUUACAAGCCAAGGGCUUAUACAGAAAUAGAGUGUCUCAUGAUUAUCUGGAAGUCUCUGAGCAAACCUGGGAAUGCCUCUCCGAAUCUACUAACGCUGACGACUAGUUUCACCCCUUAGUCUUCCCUGGGCUUCUAAACGUUAACAUCUUUAGAAUCACACAUGCCCUUGAGAAGCCACAGAUUCUGCCCAGGAGCAAUGAAUAUACGCUAAUUCCCAUACAUUUUUGCACCCAAUCUCAAAAGGUUCAUGGACUCCACCCUCCAGAUUCAGUCCUUCCCCCAAAGAAAGAAACAGAUAAAACCCUCGUCUUUGUGUACACAGGGUCCCGAGCGUUUCAUGGCCUGCUUGCACAGUGACUAUGCACAGAGUUGUCUCAAACACUGUUCUGUGGCCUCCCUUCAAAUGCUAAUGUAAUCUCUAAAUUCUCACACCCAGCCACAAGCAACAAGACCCUGAACUUCUGUGUCCAAGAAUCUGGAUAAAGUGACUUUGUUGAUAUUCGUCAUAAAGCAAGUAACAGCAUUUCUCAGGGUGACAUGAGGCCAAUGAGUCAGACCUAUUCUGGCAGCCGGCAGCCAAUGGCAGGCAUUCUCAGCCUCACCAAUGGAAUCUGGGUUGAGGAAGGAGCAGAUCAAGGCAGGCAGUCAGGUAAUAACCAAUUCAGUGUCGAGUGACCUGAUGCUGGACAUAAGCAUCACCCUCCCCUCACAUAGCCUUAGUGAGUUCCUUUGCUUUCCCUAUGCUUUCCUGAAAAGAACAUGAAUAGAGGGAGAUGCAGAGAGUAAUGCAUCACACAUGUACCCACCGCCCAUCACGGUGCCCAGGGUGUCAGGGCACAGCCUCAGGGCUGGGGAACCAGUGACUGUGACAUGGUUCUGGCCUGCAAGGACUCUGUUUCUGCAAACCAAUGACUCACAGAUGCCCUCCUCCAGGCAUGUCUGGGCAUGUCUGCGCAACAGCAGGGAAGAGAAGCUGACUGCACCAUCAGGAAACCCCCUCCCCCAUGAGCCAACCUAGGGGCCUCCUUGGAGGCGGAGGCAGAAGCGGACCAGAAUAGCAAAGGGCAGACAUCUGGGCAGGUGCACAGGUAUACAGGCUGAGGCAGCGCCCCACGCUGAGGGGACUGCAGGUGAUGCUCUAGUGCUGGCACAGGGCACACCUGGGUGUGCAGGCGACGAGGCCAGAAAGGCAGCUGGAGCAAGAGCGGAUGGCUAGCCGCCAGGUGAGAGGAGGACCCCCUUCCGGUUAGAAAGCUGGUGAAGAUAUGCAACAGUGGAGGCACGAUGACCCAACACGGAAAGGUUCUAGUGUGGAAGAGGACAAGACAGGGCUGCAGCCAGUGCAGCUGUCGCAGCGAUGACCCCAGGGAGGGACCGAGAGCCUGCAGAGGGCGUUGACAUCACAAGUGGAAGAGGGGGCAGAUUCAAAAAUGACUUAGGAAAAGAACCAGGUCUUGUGUGAUUGGAGCUGUGGCCCAGGGAGAGGGGGUUGAAUGGAGAACUCAGAUCGGAAAGUGGGUUUCCACAGUGAGUUUGGACGUUUGGCUUAGAAACAGCAGUGGAACAUCCAGGAUGGGAAAGCCUGUGAGCAGCUGAAACCCAGCUCAGGCACAAAGCUCAGAGGAGUGGUCAGGCUCCUGAGGCAGGUUUGAGAGUCAAGAGUGUGUAGGUGCAGUUUGUCGAAUGAGGGGACAGGUGGACUGAACCGAGACCCUUGGAGACAUGGGAGGGGUGAGGGGAUGGACAGAGGAGAAGAAGAGAGAGCAGGACAGAAAAAUAUGUAGACGAAGGGAAGAGAGAGUGGCCCACAGUGCUGAGGGCUUCUAGAGGACUAAGUAGUAAAAGUGUCAAUUAGUUAUUUCAGUUACUUAGAAAUCUGCAUUGUGGGGAAGGCAUGUCAGCUGUGAAUCUCCCCACAGGCUGCACGCUCAUCUUGGGGAUGCAUGUGACCACAUGUUUGGGACCAGCUUGGAGCCACAACACUGAACCACUCUGGGGGCCUCUUCCACCAGUCUUGGGGGGCGCCCUGGAGUAGAGCAGAGUACAGCCUGUGGGGUCAUGAGCAGCGACUCUGAAUGAAUAAGAGGCUAAGGCUGGAACACCAAACAGUGACUCCUGUUUCUCCUGAUGCUGAGACAGUGAGUCUUGCCUCUGCGUCAGGACCAAGGGAGUUACAGGGACCAGCGUUCUCAUGCGACCACACAGAAUAGGGAGUUUCUGACAUGCUUUAUGGAGGACUUACCUCCUGGUCUUACAGAAAAAGUCCUCCUUGGUGUGAACUGAGUUCCACCCGUUACCAAAUCCAUGGUGAAUGCCAAACAAGAGUGUGCAUGCUCCGUAGCAGCCCAAGCAGAAGGGCGCCUGGCCAUGGCAGCUUUACGUUCUGGGUGCUGUAGAUUCCUGAACACAAUCUGUAGUGGGGUCUAUUUGGGCCAGAUGUAAUCUAUAAACAUAACCAAACAGUUCUUUAAUACAAGGAUUGUUAGAGAUUAGUUGAGAAUUGCUGGACCUACUCUAAAAAAUCAGGACCAGGAACAGCUUAAUUCUAAUUUGGAGAAUUAAUUCUAAGAUGAGUAUAUCCAACAACCAAUGAUACUAAUAUGGUGACUUCUAAUACUGAUUCCAAUUUUUCUUCCCUAAGUGACUGUUGAAAAACAGGGCAGUGAUUAGGAUAAUAGGUUUUGCAAUCAGGUGCCUGUAUUUGAAUUCAGUGUCCAUCAGCUGUAUGUCCUGGGGUAAGUUACUCAACGUCUCUGACCAUCAGUCUCCUCAGUGCAUUACAGUAAUGCAAUAAACUACGUCAAGCACUCACACUGUUCCUGGCACUUGGAAAAUGCCCUGUAAGUGUUCAGCAUGAGCAUUCCGUCAUGGCUCAGUGCUGACUGCUCAUUUUCUCACAUGAUCACGGUUCAGCCAGCCCUGCUCCACGUGUCACACACUGUUCUUUUCCUGCGCCAGUGCUCUUCUGCUGCAUGGAGAAAAGUUCUCUCUGUGCUUGCGCACCUGUUCAGAGUGCACUUUAAAUGCGUCUUUGUUAAUGGAAGUCCCAAAGCAGCUUUUCUUCCUUCCAGUACGCACUGCACAAUACCUGCCAUCCACUCCUGGUUAUUGAAGGAUGCUUUCUUUCUUUCUUUGUGUCGCUUUGAGGUUUUUUUCUCUCAGCAAGCACUCAGGGUCCCACAGUUCACAUUCUGCCAUGCUGUGGCAGCAGGAGGAAUAUUUUGAAGUCCACUUACUCUGGAGAGGAGCUACUUCUAGAUUGGAGCUAAGAGAAAGCAGACCUCCUAGGCCGUGGCACCCCAACAGUGUCAGGGUACUGCCCAAGGCCGGUAAACAUCAUUUGGUUUUAACCGAUUCAGGUUCAGCUUCAUCUACCGAGCUGGGAAUGGACUCACAAUUGGUCAGCUGUAAACGGAAGCAGACGCGAGCCCUCUGCAUCUCAUGGCGGUCAGUGCCUCCCAGCCCCUGACGCCCUGGCCCUCCGUCUGUUUGCUGAAUUAUCACGUUCAGACUCAGUGCAUGUUGUUUUGUUCUUCUGCCAGGCUGCUGCUGAGGAUACACAAUGAUCCCUAUUGUACAGGAAGCAGUAUAUUUGGAAACUUUAGCAACUGUUACAGUGAUUUAAUUUAGAGGAUGAGGAAAAAGUGAUGGCUUGAACACAGAUAGAAAAUGACAAUUGUUAAGAGGCAAUAUGGUAAAAUUUAGGUCAAUUCAAUAGAGUUUGAAUAUAAAGGUAUAUUUGUUUACUUUAUUUUGUUUAAGAAGUCUGCAUUGCAUGCCUACAAUGGGACAAGCAUACUGGUGGAUGUGGUUGGCAGAAUAAUGGCCCCCAAAGAUAUCCAUGUCGUAAUACCCAGAACUGGUGAAUACAUUGCCUUACCAUGGCAAGGGGAAUUAAGCUGAAGAAGGAAUGAGGAUUGCUAACUAGCUGAGAUGAAGGUAGGGAGAUGAUCCUGUAUCAGUUGCAUGGGACCAAUUAAUCAUAAGGUCCUUGUAAGUGGAAGAGAGAGCCAGAAGGGUCAGCGUUAGAGCUACUCGCAUAGAACUACUCAUGAGAAGGUCUUAACCUGCCACUGCUGGCUUUGAAGAAGGAGGGAGAGGCCAUAAGCCAAGGGAUAUGGGCAGGCUCUAGAAUCUGGAGAAGUCAAGGAAACACCUUCUUCCCAUGACCCUCCAGAGGGAAUGCAGCUGUACCAACAUCUUGAUGUUAGCCCAGUGAGGCCCUUUUCAGAUUCACAGCCUGAAGAACUCCAAGGUAAUAAACUUGUGUUGUUUUAAACUAAGUUUGUGGUCAUUUGUCAAAGCAGCAAUAGAAAGCUAGUGCACCAACUGACUUAUCAAUUUAGUCCAACUGUUAUCUUGCUAAAGAAAAAACAGACAUGACUCUUGACUUGGGGAGACAAACAUAUCAACAACCAAUUACAAUUAAAUAAGUAGAAGUCUAUACAUGUUUAUGUACAUGUAUAGGUUUACACAUGUUGUGUGAGCAGAAGAGAAGAGGAAUAAAAGGCACUGUCUGAGCAUGGAUUUUCUUUUUUCUUCAUCCCAAUCCUAUUGGGACCCAAAUGGUUGAUGUCAAGUCCUUACAGAUGGAGUAGUUAGGAACUGCCUCUCCACCAGAUGCUGGGCCUGGCGUCUCCUCCUUCCCUCCUCUAUUUACCCUGUAGUGGGAUGGCUGCCCUGCAUUCCUCUUCACAGAAGAACAGUAUUCACAUUCUCACUGACAAUUAAAACAAGGGGACAGAGUUCUUGUUGCAAAAGCCACAUGCACUCCGAGUGUAAGUGUGGCUCACUUGUCCAGGGACGUGGGAGUGAACAGCACCAGACACUUCCUGAGGCCCAGGGCCGCCUACUGAAUCAUACAGUGAAAGGAAAUUCUUCUCAGGUUUGGUUGUCAGCUGGGGUUAUGGUAGAAUUCCACUUCUUCCCCAUGUUUUUAAUCGUUUCAAACUCUUUGCUAGAUUAGGCAAUGCCAGGCUGGGGCAUUGUUGAAAAUAUCAAAGUUGUCACUGUUGACCUUAAACAAAUAGGCAGUUAUUUCUCUAGCAAAAAGGGUUUAUUCUGGAUGAGAAAGAAUUGCAACUGGGGUCUGUGACCAUGGCAAGCCACGUGCAAGUCCCAGCAACACGGGAGGAGAAGCCCUUUUGCAGGGGGAAGAGGAAGUGGGGGAGGCAAUCGUAAACAAAGAGUCCAUGGGAGGAGAUGGGAGUUGGAAGUGUAGUGGCUUGUCAUUGACUGAAUGGUGACAGUCUCUCAUUGGCUGAGCUGUUGCCGGGCGAGAAGAAGUCUUUUUCCUUCCCGUGGGUGUCUGCCUUCUUCCUAGGGCGUGAGAGCUCCCCCUCUGGUCUCCUGACUCCAAUAUCGUGAGGUUUCUGUUUAUUAAUUUUCAUAUCACCAUGGAAAUGUGCCUCGUUACAUUUUACAUUUUAAACAACCUGUUUUCAAAUCUACUGUGAACUAUGGGUGAAUAUGGACUCUUCGUCAGGACUCAGAAUGCACAGGUCUGUCUUGAUCGAGCCAGUUGCCAACUGGUUGGCAGUAACUUCCAAAUUCUGCUUGUGGCCUUUUCUUUGCUCUCUUGUCAUGCCCUCCCCCAGCCACCUAGAAUUCUGGCCAACAAGGUUUCCAGAUACCAGAUAUUGUUGGACUGUCCCAGAAAUGUAUCAUUGAGAAAUGCUGGCAAGGCCCUGGCACCAAGAAAGACAGCUGCUCUCCAGCAUGUCAGCCCCUAGUCUGCACCUGGAGAACCUAGUUGUUAUAGGCUGUGUGCCCUAAAAGGCCUUCCAGACACCUUAUCUUGCAGUUACUUCGAAUCUCUGAUUCCACUCAGUGCUCAUUGCUGGGAAAUCAGACUCUGAACCCACCAGGCCCCUCAGAGGCGCUCAGAACAAGGCUGAGUCUCAGUAGGGUUUGCCGCACGCAGUCUGACAGGUCAGGGUUUCCCGUUCUGUAGGGUCCCUUCGACCCACCCCUCGGGGCUAGCACGUGCCCUGCGGUCACGGGAGGGGAAUGCAGAGCACACGCACCUGCAUCCACCUAGUUGUGUGCCCUCCAGCGUCUCUCCUCUAUCUGUGGGAAUGUUGUCUGGCCACACACUCCUGGAGGGCUGCUCUCCUCCUUCAGCUCCUUUCUCUGUGAGAGGUGCUCAUUGACAGAAGUGCAGUUGGAAGGAACACCCUCAUGUGAGAGUGAAUGCCUCACAAUUGAAAAGAAGGAAAACUGCCAGCAUCCAGGCAGCUCCUCCCAGGAGGUGAGAGGAAUUACACUGCAACGUUCACAGACGCCUUUUCACGAUGUGGACGGGGUGGAGGCCAGAGCAGAGGACAGAAAUUCAUGCGUCUGCCAAAGUGAACCUGACCUUUCCUGCUAGUUGACUUAGUAGCAAAGCCAGUCAAUAAACAGUCUUGAGACGCCAGAGGGCGCCUCACGGCGCCAGCCUGGUACUGAUCAAGCACUACUCUGCACUCACCUCCAACAUUCUGUGCUGUCUGAAGUAUCCCCACCAAGAUCAUAUUUGUACCACAGAGUGAAGACCCUUAGCAACUAAGUUCUCAUUUUCCACAUCUGAUACCUGUUAAGACUUAUGUUUUCAAAAUGAUAAAUAGGGUUUUUUCCUCUUCUUCUCCCCAAAGCCCCCCAGCACAUAGUUGUAUGUUCUAGUUGUAGAUCCUUCUAGUUAAGCUAUGCAGGACGCCCCCCUCAGUAUGGCCCAACGACUGGUGCCAGGUCCAUGCCCAGGAUCCGAACCAUGAACCCUGGGCCGCCGACGUGGAGAGCGCGAACAUAACCACUCGGCCACAGGGGCAGCCCCCAAAAAUAAUAAGUAGGUUUUUGAAGAGAAAACAAAAAUGUUUUGUGGGGUAAGAUAGACACCUAAAUCCAAGAAUACAGGAGAAAACACAAUGAAUUAAAUAAGGAAGUUAUGGGCAAAGCAGAAUGGUGGUCUCGAGAAGGGGAGGUCCGGCGGGCAGAGCUGAGCGGACUCCCCAGAUUGCUCCUGGUGCUGGAUGCUCUGACACAGAGGCUCUCACACUCGGCUGCGUAUAGUCAUCAUCAGGAGCAUUUUAAACCCUGAUGCCCAGGCCACAUCCAGCACAAUCAGAUCAGAUUUUCUGGGGGCAGAUUAGGCAAUUUGGUAAAGCUCCUUCGGGGGUUCAACACACCCAGGUUGGGAACCUGCCACUGUCGAGGGGUUUGUACCCAGUGGAGGGUGGAAGGUUCGGGGUAUCAAUCUCAUCUUCAGGACCCACCACCUACACAAAAAGACUGUCCAUAUGCCUCCUCAAUCUCUCAGGUUGGGAUCAUGUCCCAUUCCUCCCUUUCCAUUACCCUCUGCAUCCACCUCUUCAAUCACGUAGUAGGUAAGAAUGUGCUCCUUCCUUCCUCUGCGGCCUCACUGGCCCCGUCCUGGUCUGGACCGCUGGCCCAGGGGCUGUUGAGCACCGGGCAUGUGGCUAGUCCAAAUCGCAUGCUGUGAAUGUGGGAACACACCUCAUAUGGAAGAGUUAGUAUAAAGGGUAUACAAACCUCAUUCAUCAUUUUUAUCUUGAUUACACACUGAAAAGAUAAUAUUUUAGUUAGUUGGGUUGCAUAAAAUGUGUUAUUAAAAUUAAUUUACACCUGUUUCUUUUUUUUAACGUGGUUACCAUGUCACUUAAAACUACAGCUGUGGCUCAAGUUACAUUCCUAUGGGACGGCACCAGUCCAGACGCUCAUUCUUUCUGACCGGGACUAACACAACAGUCUCUGUUAGGCUUCUCCUACCCAAGUCCAUCACCGCCUCCCUUGCCUCAGUUCCUCCUCCCCUGCAGUUCAAGUCCUGCCUAAGAAGCACGGGUGACCGCGCCUGCCCAUCGCUCCCCCUUCGCAGCUCGCCCCUCCCAGCAGUGAGCACCCUGGCCCUCCGCUGGGGUGGCAGAGGAAGUUCCCGUUAGUCAGUCGGGAUUCCAACAAUCUGUCAACACCUCCUCCUCCUGGCCAGUGUUCUCUCCCGCACCUCAGAAGGCGGGCAUAUCUGCCACACUUGCACUGAUGGCACACAGCAUUGUGACGGUUUGGCAUCGUCUUCCCCAACCCACAUUUGCUCCUUGAAGGCAGGGACAGUAGCUGCUUCACAGCGUCGUGCUUUGGACUUUGUAUCAAUCCGGAAAUGUCCAUUGACGGAGCAUGUGGUGAAUAAGACAGAGAAUGUGGAGAGUUUACUUAUUCUGAUGUUAUAUAUUUAUGCCAGAGCUAAUCAGCUGUUACGGUGCUGGACAUCGGUCAGGCAUAAAUGGUGGCGGUCUCAUGAGGGCUUUCCGAGGGCCCCCUCAUGUGUCAUGGAGCUGCCGGUCACCCACACGCUCUGGAGUGUUGGGAGGUAAAGUUGUCACAGGUGCUGGCGCUUACCACACAGGCCCGCUAUGCAGCCUCAGGGCCUUGAAACACUUUUGGAGCAGAGAGUUUGGGAAACAAGCCUACGGGCCACACACUUGCUGGCGAGAGGCAGGAAGCUGAGUGUGCUUGCUCAGGGGAAAGAAAGGGAGCCAGAGGUCUUGGUAUCUGUCCAUAGGUUAGGGGAUGCAGGGAGGGUACAGGGGAGAAUCUGCCCUCUUCUCACCCUGCAGACGCUCCCAGAUAUCACGCUCUAAACCUGCCCCAAGGAGGUCAGCUCGAGGCCUAGAAGGCUAUCGCCUCCCAUGGCCCUGUGCCCAGAGACGACUUUCUCAUCAUGAAUAAAACACGUGCCAUGAGCACCUCUGUCAGAGAAUGAACAUGGAUCUCACAGGACACUGGAACCUUAAGCUUGCAGAGGUCGGGGUAGCAGCCAGGGGGCAGAGAGGGAGGCCGGGGACAGCACGGCAAAGGUGAAGACGUUCUGUGGAUCCCUCAGACCCCUGUUCUUUCUCUUCCUUCUGCCUGCCUGUGACUGGUUAGCCUCUUACUAUCCAGGAGUCGCUCAAGAAGACUCAACGCAAGUGACCCUCGGAGUUUGCUCUUUGUUUCAUCUGUACCUUUCUUUGUCUGACGUCUGACUUCGUGAGCAGGAGCCCUUCUGGAGCCAGGGGGCUGGAUUGGGACCCCGCGCCCCACUCAACAGCUGCAGAGCCUGAGACGGGUCCUUUGCUUCUCUGUACCUCAGUUUCCUCUUCAUAAAAUUGGAGACAAAAACAACACCCGCUUGGUAGGAAGUACUAUGGUGCCCAAAGAUGUCCACGUCCUGAUACUCGGAAACUGGGAAUGUCACCUUCCAUUGCAAAACGGGCUCUGCAGAUGUGAUUAAAGUUAUACAGAACCUUGAGAUGGGGAGAUUAUUCUCGAUUAUCCGUGCCCAAUCUAACUACAUGAGUCCUUAAAAGUUGGGAAUCUCUCCCCACUGAGUUCAGAGAGAGAUGUGACCACGGAAGAAGUGUCCAAGAAAUGAGAUGUUACUGUCUCUGAAGAUGGAGGAAAGGCCACGAACCAAGGAAUGCGGGAGAUUCUAGAAGCUGGAAAAGGCAAGGAAUGGAUCCUUCCCUGCAGCCUGCAGAAGGAACCAGCCUUCCUGACACCUCAGUUUUAGCCCAGUGAGACUUCAGACUUCUAACCUACAGAAUGAAACCUGAAGCCCAGAGAUUAUAUGUGACUUGCCACACAGCUAAUUCGCAGCAAACUGCAACUGGAACUCAUGUCUCUUCACAGCCAGGCCAGCCGUUUUCACCUUAAGAUACUCCGACGUGGGUGCUUGUCUUUUCCUGGUUCAGGCGAGCCUGAGGAAUGAGGUCAGGGGACAGUGCUGCCUCCUUGGGCCACAGUGCCUCCUGUCCCUGGGUGUCUGAGGAGUCUCUGGUUCAUUAAAAUCUUCUGAGUGA